rnacentral:rRNA from 1 species
AACGCGAAGAACCUUACCAGGCCUUGACAUCCUCGGAACUUUCUAGAAAUAGAUUGGUGCCUUCGGGAACCGAGUGACAGGUGCCGCAUGGCCGUCG